AAAAUUGGUCUAACGGACGAUUUUAGUCGGAAACUGAAUCAGAGCCGUCCUGUGCCCAGGUCUACACAAUGCACAGAGCCACUUUCUUUUAAUUUGGAAACGCAUUGCAUUGACUGUCGGCUGGAGCUGAUGGUAGAUACUUCAGAUUCUCACAACCAACAAUUCCAAGCUCCUGAAGAGAAGACAGAUCACAAUACUAUAGUACACAUGUCGAGAAGCAGACUCGCUCUCUUGUCGAGAAGACGAUAGGUCACUGAAUUCUGGAUCCGAAACGAAUAGUCGUUUUUUAAAAAAGGCCCGUAUAAACGAAACCGACACCGUACCGCCCUAUUUUUGUCCUAUGCUACCACUAAACGGUGCCGUGUGACUGAUUUCAAAUGCAUAUUCUUCUACAGAUUUCUUUGGGAACCAAAUUAACGGCGGCGGGUACCUGAUUCUGAAGCAAUGGACAUCACCGAUUCGCUGUAUCCAAAUAGAGCGUUAACGGAAACGCGCUUCUCCGAUCUAAAACCGUCACUCUCAGAGCCUGUUCUCGAAGCUCUAACUCUAGCAGGUUUCGAAUAUUGCACGCCGGUCCAAGCAGCCACGAUUCCGCUACUAUGCAGCUACAAGGAUGUUGCAGUCGACGCCACAACCGGCUCUGGAAAAACCCUUGCUUUCGUAGUCCCCCUUGUCGAGAUUCUCCGUCGAGCCUCCUCUCCUCCCAAACCCCACCAGGUGAUGGGAAUAAUUCUCUCUCCUACUAGGGAGUUGUCAUCACAAAUAUAUAACGUUGCUCAACCUUUCAUUGCAACUUUAUCGAAUGUUAAGUCGAUUCUCCUUGUUGGCGGGGUGGAUGUGAAAGCUGAUUUGAAGAAAAUAGAGGAGGAAGGAGCUAAUUUAUUGAUUGGAACGCCUGGAAGGCUUUAUGACAUCAUGGAACGUGUGGAUUUCCUGGACUUUCGAAACCUUGAGGUUUUAAUCUUGGAUGAGGCUGAUCGACUCUUGGAUAUGGGAUUCCAAAAGCAGAUAAAUUCCAUUAUAUCUCACUUACCCAAGCUUCGCAGGACUGGUCUUUUCUCAGCUACUCAAACUGAGGCAGUUGAAGAGUUGGCCAAAGCUGGACUGAGGAAUCCUGUGAGGGUUGAAGUUCGAGCAGAAACCAAAUCACUGAAUGAAUCAGCAUCUUCGCAAUUAGCUUCUUCAAAAACACCUUCAGGCCUUCAACUUGAGGUUUGUAGUUUGUUGAAUUUUAUCAAUUCUUUGUUAAAUAGUUAUACUUUAGGAUAGUUUUUUGCAAAUUACACAUUUUGUAGAUUAUUCUUUGCUCAGAAGUGAGUAUAAUUGCUUGUAAAUAUUUGUGUUUGGUGGAAUCAUUAUUACGAAAAUCUCACUUCUGGUUUAACAAUUGGAAAUUAGUGCAUCAAAUUCUUCCAACAUGGCUGCACACCUUUCGUUUGAUUAUGCUGCUUGAGUAUGAUGUUCCAUCUUGUCGAAUUGCUUGAGGAUUCAGGGAUGUUGUGGGAAUUCUUAAUUCUGUUUACAUUAACAUCCUUGCGUAUUUGGUGAAAAAAUUUUGACAAUGCAUAUAAUGAGAAAUAUAAUUUAACUCUUGUACAUAAACCCUGAAAAAUGGGUUAUCUGUACUGAAAGCAUUUUUCUCUAAGUGGUAAACAUGAUAUCUCCUGUACUUAUCAUUUGUCGGGUGAUGAAUUUUUUUGGUUUCCCCACUUCCCUCCCUCUCUCUCUGCAGUAUUUGGAAUGCGAAGCAGAUAAUAAACCGUCUCAGCUUGUUGAUCUCCUUAUUAAGAACAAGUCAAAAAAGAUUAUAAUGUGAGUUAUUUUCUAUAUUUCUAAUGGAUGGGUAAAGCAAUCAGUCUUACAGGCUGAUGAGGUCAUUUUCACAAUAAUGAUUUCAUCACAUUGCAGAUACUUUAUGACUUGUGCGUGUGUUGAUUAUUGGGGUGUUCUUCUUCCACGUCUUACUGCUUUAAAGGGCUUCUCUUUGAUUCCUCUUCAUGGGAAGAUGAAGCAGACUGCAAGAGAGAAAGCAUUGGCUUCAUUUACAUCUCUCACAAAUGGCAUUCUUCUAUGUACGGAUGUUGCAGCACGUGGACUUGAU
rnacentral:misc_RNA from 1 species